CGAUGGGCUGCUAUUGAGGAGGAUGAUGCUGCAUUCUACCACUAUGAUAUUUUCUUGCUUCUGAGCUCCUGCUGACCAACAAAAUGACUGCAUCUCACCGAAUAUUGUCCCUUGGGUGGAGACCAGAGUAUCUGAGAAGGAGGAAAUUAGAGACUGGGACACAAACCAUUUUUGUAGACCAAAGGAGUUCCUUUCCCUAAACUUGGGUCCAUUGAUCACAAAUUUGGGAAUGGUUUUCAGUGGUCACUUUACUGGCCUGGUGUUGGUAAAGCCUUUAUGGUGAUCUUGUUGAUUGUUCUACUUGGUGAAAGUCAGUCACACAAACUGGGCAUGCUCAGUGGACUGGAAUGCCCACCAGGGGCAGUUGAAUGGAGUCCAACUGACAGCAGCAAAGCAAAGCCUUCUCUGCCUCCCUUCCUGUUCCCUACUUCCCCUCCGCCAUUCACUUGAUCUGGGUCUUGGCCUCACUCUAGGCUCAGGCUUUUUCUUUGAUUCCAUUCUCUUUUCUGGUUUUCAAAUCAUUUUUUAUCCACACCUCUUGUCUCUAAUGCUUUCAGCUUUACUAGUAUGGACCUAAAUCUGGUCCCAAUACUCUUGACCCUAAAUCUAUGUGACCACAGUUUUCAAUGUAUGCCCAGACUGGCUGUAUGUUAAUGGGGCAGGUGUUAGGGAAGGGGGUACUAGGAGUCUAUAGGUCUGGACGUGAAAGGGGCCAAGGGAAGGGCUUCAUGACAAUUCUCAUCUGAGGGUCUUCUCCAGUCAUCUUCCCUUCUUUGAGGACCUCACCAGGCUGAUGGUUAAGAACAUUUUGAGCUUCCCAAGUCAGCAUCACUAUUUCCCAGAUUGUGUCCGUUAACACAGUCUGGGUUUGAUGUCUCUGAAGCCCUAGGAGCAUGCUAAACACCAACAAAGUCAAUAGGAUGGCAUGUACUAACUAAUGAAGUAUUAUUUCUAGAUGUUUCUUUGCAAGGGAGUUCGAAUUCAGCUUGCUAAAGAACCAAGAAGUCUUCUCCUUCAAUCUAACUUGACAGGUGGAAAUGUAACUCCAAUUCCUGUAACUUCAUCUUUGCCAGAAGCAGAAGUCUGUCAACAGGGCACCUGGAUGGCUCAGUCAGUUGGGCAUCUGCCUUCAGCUCAGGUCAUGAUCCUGGGGUCCUGGGAUCCAGUCCUGCAUCAGGCUCCCUGCACAAUGUGUAGUCUGCUUCUCCCUCUGC